rnacentral:rRNA from 1 species
GGGUUGUGAGGUUAAGCGACUAAGCGUACACGGUGGAUGCCCUGGCAGUCAGAGGCGAUGAAGGGCGUGCUAAUCUGCGAUAAGCGCCGGUAAGGUGAUAUGAACCGUUAUAACCGGCGAUACCCGAAUGGGGAAACCCAGUGUGAUUCGUCACACUAUCAUUAACUGAAUCCAUAGGUUAAUGAGGCGAACCGGGGGAACUGAAACAUCUAAGUACCCCGAGGAAAAGAAAUCAACCGAGAUUCCCCCAGUAGCGGCGAGCGAACGGGGAGGAGCCCAGAGCCUGAAUCAGCAUGUGUGUUAGUGGAAGCGUCUGGAAAGGCGCGCGAUACAGGGUGACAGCCCCGUACACAAAAGCGCAUGUGCUGUGAGCUCGAUGAGUAGGGCGGGACACGUGGUAUCCUGUCUGAAUAUGGGGGGACCAUCCUCCAAGGCUAAAUACUCCUGACUGACCGAUAGUGAACCAGUACCGUGAGGGAAAGGCGAAAAGAACCCCGGCGAGGGGAGUGAAAAAGAACCUGAAACCGUGUACGUACAAGCAGUGGGAGCCCCACCACUAAGCCAGUGGUGAACUCCACAUACGCAUCCUUUGCUGAGGAUACGGUUAACGGAGCGCAAGCGACGUUCAACCUCAAAAGAAGCAGAGGGGGCUUAGUGGUGGGGUGACUGCGUACCUUUUGUAUAAUGGGUCAGCGACUUAUAUUCUGUAGCAAGGUUAACCGUAUAGGGGAGCCGGAGGGAAACCGAGUCUUAACCGGGCGUUAAGUUGCAGGGUAUAGACCCGAAACCCGGUGAUCUAGCCAUGGGCAGGUUGAAGGUUGGGUAACACUAACUGGAGGACCGAACCGACUAAUGUUGAAAAAUUAGCGGAUGACCUGUGGCUGGGGGUGAAAGGCCAAUCAAACCGGGAGAUAGCUGGUUCUCCCCGAAAGCUAUUUAGGUAGCGCCUCGUGAAUUCAUCUCCGGGGGUAGAGCACUGUUUCGGCUAGGGGGCCAUCCCGGCUUACCAACCCGAUGCAAACUGCGAAUACCGGAGAAUGUUAUCACGGGAGACACACGGCGGGUGCUAACGUCCGUCGUGAAGAGGGAAACAACCCAGACCGCCAGCUAAGGUCCCAAAGUCAUGGUUAAGUGGGAAACGAUGUGGGAAGGCCCAGACAGCCAGGAUGUUGGCUUAGAAGCAGCCAUCAUUUAAAGAAAGCGUAAUAGCUCACUGGUCGAGUCGGCCUGCGCGGAAGAUGUAACGGGGCUAAACCAUGCACCGAAGCUGCGGCAGCGACACUCAGGUGUUGUUGGGUAGGGGAGCGUUCUGUAAGCCUGCGAAGGUGGCCUGUGAGGGUUGCUGGAGGUAUCAGAAGUGCGAAUGCUGACAUAAGUAACGAUAAAGCGGGUGAAAAGCCCGCUCGCCGGAAGACCAAGGGUUCCUGUCCAACGUUAAUCGGGGCAGGGUGAGUCGACCCCUAAGGCGAGGCCGAAAGGCGUAGUCGAUGGGAAACGGGUUAAUAUUCCCGUACUUGGUGUUACUGCGAAGGGGGGACGGAGAAGGCUAUGUUGGCCGGGCGACGGUUGUCCCGGUUUAAGCGUGUAGGUGUGUGUUCCAGGUAAAUCCGGUUCACUUUAACACUGAGGCGUGACGACGAGGCACUACGGUGCUGAAGCAACAAAUGCCCUGCUUCCAGGAAAAGCCUCUAAGCAUCAGGUAACAUCAAAUCGUACCCCAAACCGACACAGGUGGUCAGGUAGAGAAUACCAAGGCGCUUGAGAGAACUCGGGUGAAGGAACUAGGCAAAAUGGUGCCGUAACUUCGGGAGAAGGCACGCUGACAUGUAGGUGAAGUGAUUUACUCAUGGAGCUGAAGUCAGUCGAAGAUACCAGCUGGCUGCAACUGUUUAUUAAAAACACAGCACUGUGCAAACACGAAAGUGGACGUAUACGGUGUGACGCCUGCCCGGUGCCGGAAGGUUAAUUGAUGGGGUCAGCGCAAGCGAAGCUCCUGAUCGAAGCCCCGGUAAACGGCGGCCGUAACUAUAACGGUCCUAAGGUAGCGAAAUUCCUUGUCGGGUAAGUUCCGACCUGCACGAAUGGCGUAAUGAUGGCCAGGCUGUCUCCACCCGAGACUCAGUGAAAUUGAACUCGCUGUGAAGAUGCAGUGUACCCGCGGCAAGACGGAAAGACCCCGUGAACCUUUACUAUAGCUUGACACUGAACAUUGAGCCUUGAUGUGUAGGAUAGGUGGGAGGCUUUGAAGUGUGGACGCCAGUCUGCAUGGAGCCGACCUUGAAAUACCACCCUUUAAUGUUUGAUGUUCUAACGUGGACCCGUGAUCCGGGUUGCGGACAGUGUCUGGUGGGUAGUUUGACUGGGGCGGUCUCCUCCUAAAGAGUAACGGAGGAGCACGAAGGUUGGCUAAUCCUGGUCGGACAUCAGGAGGUUAGUGCAAUGGCAUAAGCCAGCUUGACUGCGAGCGUGACGGCGCGAGCAGGUGCGAAAGCAGGUCAUAGUGAUCCGGUGGUUCUGAAUGGAAGGGCCAUCGCUCAACGGAUAAAAGGUACUCCGGGGAUAACAGGCUGAUACCGCCCAAGAGUUCAUAUCGACGGCGGUGUUUGGCACCUCGAUGUCGGCUCAUCACAUCCUGGGGCUGAAGUAGGUCCCAAGGGUAUGGCUGUUCGCCAUUUAAAGUGGUACGCGAGCUGGGUUUAGAACGUCGUGAGACAGUUCGGUCCCUAUCUGCCGUGGGCGCUGGAGAACUGAGGGGGGCUGCUCCUAGUACGAGAGGACCGGAGUGGACGCAUCACUGGUGUUCGGGUUGUCAUGCCAAUGGCACUGCCCGGUAGCUAAAUGCGGAAGAGAUAAGUGCUGAAAGCAUCUAAGCACGAAACUUGCCCCGAGAUGAGUUCUCCCUGAGACUUUAGGUCUCCUGAAGGAACGUUGAAGACGACGACGUUGAUAGGCCGGGUGUGUAAGCGCAGCGAUGCGUUGAGCUAACCGGUACUAAUGAACCGUGAGGCUUAACCUUACAACGCCGAAG